UACGUAGGGUGCGAGCGUUAAUCGGAAUUACUGGACGUAAAGCGCGCGUAGGCGGACCUGCAAGUCGGGGGUGAAAGCCCGAGGCUCAACCUCGGAACUGCCUUCGAUACUGCGGGUCUCGAGUCCGGGAGAGGUGAGUGGAAUUCCUAGUGUAGAGGUGAAAUUCGUAGAUAUUAGGAAGAACACCAGUGGCGAAGGCGGCUCACUGGCCCGGUACUGACGCUGAGGCGCGAAAGCGUGGGGAGCAAACAGG
rnacentral:rRNA from 1 species